AAUGAACGCUGGCGGCGUGCUUAACACAUGCAAGUCGAACGAGAAAGUCCUUCGGGGCGAGUAAAGUGGCGCACGGGUGAGUAACGCGUAGGCAAUCUACCCCCAUGACCGGGAUAACAGUGCGAAAGCGCUGCUAAUACCGGAUACGAUCCGUGACCGGGAGGUUACGGAUGAAAGCCGGCCACUCAGAGAAGCUGGUGCAUGGGGAUGAGCCUGCGUCCUAUCAGCUAGUUGGCAGGGUAACGGCCUACCAAGGCGACGACGGGUAGCUGGUCUGAGAGGAUGAUCAGCCACACUGGCACUGAAAUACGGGCCAGACUCCUACGGGAGGCUG
rnacentral:rRNA from 1 species